rnacentral:rRNA from 1 species
GCGAACAGGAUUAGAUACCCUGGUAGUCCACGCCGUAAACGGUGGAUGCUGGAUGUGGGGCCCGUUCCACGGGUUCCGUGUCGGAGCUAACGCGUUAAGCAUCCCGCCUGGGGAGUACGGCCGCAAGGCUAAAACUCAAAGAAAUUGACGGGGGCCCGCACAAGCGGCGGAGCAUGCGGAUUAAUUCGAUGCAACGCGAAGAACCUUACCUGGGCUUGACAUGUUCCCGACAGCCGUAGAGAUGCGGCCUCCCUUCGGGGCGGGUUCACAGGUGGUGCAUGGUCGUCGUCAGCUCGUGUCGUGAGAUGUUGGGUUAAGUCCCGCAACGAGCGCAACCCUCGCCCUGUGUUGCCAGCACGUCAUGGUGGGAACUCACGGGGGACCGCCGGGGUCAACUCGGAGGAAGGUGGGGAUGACGUCAGAUCAUCAUGCCCCUUACGUCCAGGGCUUCACGCAUGCUACAAUGGCCGGUACAACGGGAUGCGACACGGCGACGUGGAGCGGAUCCCUGAAAACCGGUCUCAGUUCGGAUUGGAGUCUGCAACCCGACUCCAUGAAGGCGGAGUCGCUAGUAAUCGCGGAUCAGCAACGCCGCGGUGAAUGCGUUCCCGGGCCUUGUACACACCGCCCG